rnacentral:rRNA from 1 species
CCUUACUGCUCAGUAACACGUAGUCAACCUGCCCUCGGGACGAGAACAAUCUCGGGAAACUGAGGCUAAUUCUUGAUAGGUCAAGAUUCCUGGAAUGGGUUUUGGCUUAAAUGGAGUAACAGCAUCUUGUUACUAACGCCCGAGGAUGGGACUGCGGCCGAUCAGGCUGUUGGUGAGGUAAAGGCUCACCAAACCAGUAACCGGUACGGGCUUUGAGAGAUGGAGCCCGGAGAUGGACACUGAGACAAGGGUCCAGGUCCUACGGGGCGCAGCAGGCGCGAAACCUUCGCAAUGUGCGAAAGCACGACGAGGUUAUUCCGAGUGAUCUCCGCUGAGGAGAUCUUUUCUUAGAUUUAAAACGUCUGGGGAAUAAGGGGAGGGCAAGUCUGGUGUCAGCCGCCGCGGUAAUACCAGCUCCUCGAGUGGUCAGGGCGUUUAUUGGGCCUAAAGCAUCCGUAGCCGGCUUAGUAGGUCUCCUGUUAAAUCCAACGGCUCAACCGUUGGCCUGCAGGGGAUACCGCUGGGCUAGGAGGCGGGAGAGGCGGACGGUACUCCGAGGGUAGGGGUAAAAUCCUUUGAUCCCCGGAAGACCACCAGUGGCGAAGGCGGUCCGCCAGAACGCGCUCGACGGUGAGGGAUGAAAGCUGGGGGAGCGAACCGGAUUAGAUAGGCAUUAGUGGAGAAUAAAAACUAAAACUUUACUUCUGCCCUAAAUACCCGGGUAGUCCCAGCCGUAAACGAUGCGAGCUAGGUGACACAACGCCUUCGGGGCGUUGUGGUGCCGCAGGGAAGCCGUUAAGCUCGCCGCCUGGGGAGUACGGACGCAAGUCUGAAACUUAAAGGAAUUGGCGGGGGAGCACAAGGGC